rnacentral:lncRNA from 1 species
GCACACCCUCCCUAGGUGCGCCACCGGCGAGGAACCUGCACAUGGUCAGCUACCCAGAGCUCCAAGAAGCCAGUCCUCUUGGGUUUUUAAUGGAAGCUUCAUGACAUCAGCAUUCCUUACACCAGGGUAUAGAGUGAGGAGGAGGGUCUCUCUGGGGAGGGUCUAUUAUUUUUUGCCCCUUUAGCAAUUUGUGUGAGCUUUGUGUAUACAUAGGGUUUUUUUUAU